UACGGGGGGAGCAAGCGUUGUUCGGAUUUACUGGGCGUAAAGGGCGCGUAGGCGGCCAGCACAAGUCAGUUGUGAAAUCUCCGAGCUUAACUCGGAAAGGUCAACUGAUACUGUGCGGCUAGAGUGCGGAAGGGGCAACUGGAAUUCUUGGUGUAGCGGUGAAAUGCGUAGAUAUCAAGAGGAACACCUGCGGCGAAGGCGGGUUGCUGGGCCUGACCUGACGCUGAGGAGCGAAAGCGUGGGGAGCGAACAGG
rnacentral:rRNA from 1 species